GAAUUGACGGGGGCCCGCACAAGCAGUGGAGCAUGUGGUUUAAUUCGAAGCUACGCGAAGAACCUUACCAGGGCUUGACAUAGUGUCUAAGACUCUAGAGAUAGAGGGAUAAUAGGUACAUACAGGUGGUGCAUGGUUGUCGUCAGCUCGUGUCGUGAGAUGUUAGGUUAAGUCCUCCAACGAGCGCAACCCUUGUCCUUAGUUGCCAGCAUUUAGUUGGGGACUCUAGGGAGACCGCCGGCGUAAGCCGGAGGAAGGUGGGGAUGACGUCAAAUCAUCAUGCUCUUUAUGUCCUGGGCGACACACGUGCUACAAUGGUCGGUACAAUGAGAUGCAAAAUCGCGAGGUAGAGCAAAUCUAUAAAGCCGAUCUCAGUUCGGAUUGGAGUCUGCAACUCGACUCCAUGAAGUCGGAAUUGCUAGUAAUCGCAAAUCAGCCAUGUUGCGGUGAAUACGUUCCCGGGCCUUGUACACACCG
rnacentral:rRNA from 1 species